rnacentral:rRNA from 1 species
UUAGAGUUUGAUCCUGGCUCAGGAUGAACGCUAGCGGCAGGCUUAACACAUGCAAGUCGAGGGGCAGCGGGGAGUAGCAAUACUCUGCCGGCGACCGGCGGAAGGGUGCGUAACGCGUGAGCAACUUGCCCGUAUCAGGGGGAUAAGCAAUGGAAACGUUGUCUAAUAUCCCGUAACAACAGAGGCCGCAUGGUCUUUGUUUGAAAGCUACGGCGGAUACGGAUGGGCUCGCGUGACAUUAGCUAGUUGGAGUGGUAACGGCACACCAAGGCGACGAUCAGUAGGGGUCCUGAGAGGGAGGUCCCCCACAUUGGUACUGAGACACGGACCAAACUCCUACGGGAGGCAGCAGUGAGGAAUAUUGGUCAAUGGGCGAGAGCCUGAACCAGCCAUGUCGCGUGGAGGAAUAAGGAUCUAUGGUUCGUAAACUCCUUUUGCGGGGGGAUAAAGUGCGGGACGUGUCCCGCUUUGCAGGUACCCCGCGAAUAAGCAUCGGCUAACUCCGUGCCAGCAGCCGCGGUAAUACGGAGGAUGCGAGCGUUAUCCGGAUUUAUUGGGUUUAAAGGGUGCGUUAGCGGAGAAUUAAGUCUGUGGUGAAAGCGUGCGGGCUCAACCGUACCAAGCCAUGGAAACUGGUUUUCUUGAGUGUAAACGAGGUAGGCGGAAUAUGACGUGUAGCGGUGAAAUGCUUAGAUAUGUCAUAGAACCCCGAUUGCGAAGGCAGCUUACCAGCAUACAACUGACGCUGAGGCACGAAAGCGUGGGUAUCAAACAGGAUUAGAUACCCUGGUAGUCCACGCAGUAAACGAUGAAUACUAGCUGUUGGCGAUAUAAUGUCAGCGGUAAAGCGAAAGUGUUAAGUAUUCCACCUGGGGAGUACGCCGGCAACGGUGAAACUCAAAGGAAUUGACGGGGGCCCGCACAAGCGGAGGAACAUGUGGUUUAAUUCGAUGAUACGCGAGGAACCUUACCCAGACUCAAAUGGGGGCCGGCAGGCGCGGAGACGCGCCCUCCCUCCGGGGCGGCCUUCAAGGUGCUGCAUGGUUGUCGUCAGCUCGUGCCGUGAGGUGUCAGGUUAAGUCCUAUAACGAGCGCAACCCCUACGUCCAGUUGCCAGCGGGUCGAGCCGGGGACUCUGGACGGACUGCCGGCGCAAGCCGAGAGGAAGGCGGGAAUGACGUCAAAUCAGCACGGCCCCUACGUCUGGGGCGACACACGUGCUACAAUGGUCGGUACAGAAGGAAGCGAAGCCGCGAGGCGGAGCGAAUCCCAAAAAGCCGGUCUCAGUGCAGAUUGCAGGCUGCAACUCGCCUGCAUGAAGAUGGAGUUGCUAGUAACCGCAGGUCAGCGAUACUGCGGUGAAUACGUUCCCGGGCCUUGCACACACCGCCCGUCA